CUCCACCGGAAAAAGAGGAGUGGCGAACGGGUGAGUAACACGUGGGUAACCUGCCCAUCAGAAGGGGAUACACUUGGAAACAGGUGCUAAUACCGUAUAACAAUCNAAACCGCAUGGUUUUGAUUUGAAAGGCGCUUUCGGGUGUCGCUGAUGGAUGGACCCGCGGUGCAUUAGCUAGUUGGUGAGGUAACGGCUCACCAAGGCCACGAUGCAUAGCCGACCUGAGAGGGUGAUCGGCCACAUUGGGACUGAGACACGGCAAACUCCUACGGGAGGCAGCAGUAGGGAAUCUUCGGCAAUGGACGAAAGUCUGACCGAGCAACGCCGCGUGAGUGAAGAAGGUUUUCG
rnacentral:rRNA from 1 species